UACGAAGGGAGCUAGCGUUGUUCGGAAUCACUGGGCGUAAAGCGCACGUAGGCGGAUGUGUCAGUCAGGGGUGAAAUCCCGGAGCUCAACUUCGGAACUGCCUUUGAUACAGCACGUCUUGAGUCCGAUAGAGGUGGGUGGAAUUCCUAGUGUAGAGGUGAAAUUCGUAGAUAUUGGGAAGAACACCGAUGGCGAAGGCAGCCAUCUGGACCGACACUGACGCUGAGGCGCGAAAGCGUGGGGAGCAAACAGG
rnacentral:rRNA from 1 species